rnacentral:rRNA from 1 species
CAGCCGCCACGGUAAAACGUAGGGUGCAAGCGUUAAUCGGAAUUACUGGGCGUAAAGCGUGCGCAGGCGGUUAUAUAAGACAGAUGUGAAAUCCCCGGGCUCAACCUGGGAACUGCAUUUGUGACUGUAUAGCUAGAGUACGGCAGAGGGGGAUGGAAUUCCGCGUGUAGCAGUGAAAUGCGUAGAUAUGCGGAGGAACACCGAUGGCGAAGGCAAUCCCCUGGGCCUGUACUGACGCUCAUGCACGAAAGCGUGGUGAGCAAACAGGAUUAGAUACCCGUGUAGUCCCUGUCUCUUAUAA